AAACAGUUAUACAAGAUUUCUGUGUUUUCUAGAAAUAACAUGUUUCCCGGGAACACAAAAAAAAAAUGAAGCUGAUCAGGAUGUUAUAGCAGCCACACAAAGUGGACCAACAAUAUAUAAAUAUUACAGCUAUUUAUGAGGCCAUUUCAAGUUUUUACUCGGCCAACAAAACUCAUCUAAAAGUCUCUCUGUUUUCUGUAAUAAUUAAUUAUUUAAACAUGUAAUUUUUGUGUGAAAAGAAACUAACAUACAUUUGAUAUUACAGUUGGACCAGUAGUAGUUACUGUCUGUAAUUUGGUAGUAUACAACAAAAUACUAGCUGUCAUAGGAAGAUUCUAAGUUGACAAAAAAAAUUGAAACCAUCCAACCAAAAUUAGGUACUGUAAUUUAUUAAUAUUUAUAAUCAUUCCUAUUUGAUAACAAUCAUAUUAUAUUUAGAUCUAAUUGUUCAAAUAGACCUGUUGCAAUGAGUACAUACCAUUAAAAUGAUACUGGGAAGAUUAAAAACAUUGAUAUAGUUACAAUUUGAAUUGUCUAGGAUUGAUCAAGCAAUUGGUUGAAUGUAAUAAUUAGGUAUGUACUCCUUUUUUUUUUUUUUACAAGGAGAAAUUAUUUUGUAAGUACAGCUUCAAAGUGAUAUCAUAGAUGAUUUAUGAAUCGCAUAACAUAUAAUUUUUGACAAAAUUGAAUAAAAAUUAAUCUAAAUCUGAAAUUAUAAAAAAAUUAAUUUUUAAAUUUUUUCAUAGGAGGCUACUGUAUUACCGUAUCUACCUGUGUUUUAUUGAAUUUUGACUUGAGCUUAUCAAAUUAUUUCAGAAUAGAGCAGUCACUUUUUAUGUUCAAGCAAAUCAUUCAGUACUAAUGGGAAUUGAGCUGCCAUGUUUAUGGAUUAGUUUGUCAGCAGUUCUACCAAAAUAAAAACCAGUUUACAUUAAAAGUAAAUACUUUGUUAUAUAUUUAUUAUAUAAGUACAUGCUAGCACAAAUAUUAAAAUAUCAUGUAUAUUAAAACAAAUUGUUUGAGAUUAAUACUCAAUAAAGUACAAAAAUUUAAAGUAAAUUAAUAAAAACAACAAUUUAUAGGUUUUAAUAUAAAAUUAACCUAAACACACCUAAAUUGACUUACAAACUUCUAUAUGAUAUUUUUAAGUUUUUUUUCUUAUGAUAAUUAUUGAAGCCUUGUAGUAUUUUGUACUUUUAUAUUUUGUUUAAAACUAAAAAUAGAAAUAUUAUUUUUAGAAAAUUCACAAUAACAAUUUUAUUAAUAUAUUUUGAACCAAUAUUUGGAACUGUAUAAUACUAGCAAUUUAGACCUAUACUUGCAAAUGAGAGUGUGGGACUGAACAAACUUCAUGAAUCCUCCAGAAAUGAAAAGUAUGAGAAAUAAACCAAAAAAAAAAAAAAAAUUGUUUUUGAUUUUAUCAUUGGUCACCUAAAUUUAAAUUAUUUCCAAAAUGGUUUGUACCAUAAACAGUUUGUGAACCUCUACUUUAAAUUGAUUCACCAACAGUUCCAUUAAAAAAUAAUAUUAGUAAAUUCAUAGGAUUGAUCACUAGUAAAUAUCUGCAAUACUUAAAUUUUAUUUAUCAAAUAAUUAUCUAGGAUUUGUAAAAACAAUUUAUAAUGUUUGUUGGGCUCUAGAAAUUAUUACUAAAAUAUUGAUCAGAAAAAUAAUUAUUUCCAAUGUCAAUUUAUUUGUGUUAAACUCUGUAUAAUUGUGUACACCCCCUAACAAAAAAAAAAACAAAAAAAACUAAAGUUUUAGAAAAGAACAAAAAAGUAGUUUGUAUAUAUGAUUCAAUUUAAAAAAAAAAUCAUGAUCAGAUAAUAGAACAACCAAGACUAAAAUUGAAUACAAAACCAUAUGAGGAAUACUUUGAUAAAUUACUAUUUUUACACAGUGAGUACAUCAACUGCAUUAGAAGAUAUGGUAAAAUGCAGCAAGAUGAUGGAUUUAAAAAAAUUAUUAUUAUGUACAAAAUAUUAGGGUUGAAUAUUAUUUUUAUAAUUUGUACAUUCAAGAUAUUUUUGAACUUAUUUUCCUUAACCUCAAUUUAAAUAUGAAAAGUUAUUAUUAUUAAUACUCAUUAUUUAUAUCAAAAUCAACAGUAUAAGAAUUAUUUUAAACAUACCUCGCAAGAAUAAUUAAAAUUAACCUACCUUUAAUUAAUUUUGAAGAUUUGUUUUUUGUUUCUAAUUUUUAAGUUUCUAAUAGUUUUUCAGUAUACAGUAUAAUUACAAUUAAAUUACAUUUUUGUAACAAUGUUAAGGAAAAUAAACUUAAAAAAAUGUUGAAUCUAUUGAUAGAUUUUUAAAAUAAUAAUGUUCUGUGUUAAUAUUUUUUAAUUUUAAUAAAACUUCUUUAAUCUCAUUUAGUUUUACAAUUUUUUCAGCCUGGUUCACAUGGUCAAACAUUUGACUGUGAACCAAGUUUACAGAUGGAAUUUGUUUACUCCUAACGUUCAGAAUAGUAAUUAUUCAAUGUAUUCCUUAUAUUAAUUUUAUUUUCAAUAUUUUCAGUUUGUAUUAUAUUAUUGUGUACAUAUUUUCAACAUGUACACAAUUAAGUACUAUGGGUUUGGUGUUGUAUUAUCAUGUUAAAUGUUCACAGGUAAAAACAGAAAAUUCAGAAAAAAUCUUACAAGUUGUUGCAGACCAUGAGAUAAUAAAAAAUGAAUGGGGAAUUUGAGAAUGGUAAAAAAACAUUAAUCAUCAAAUCAUAGACAGAUGAAAAUAUUGACUGUUGAAAAUAAUGAAAUAUAGGCAGCCUCAAAGCAUUUAAAAUUUGAAUUUCUGAUAUAAUACUUUAUGAAUAACAUUUUAAUUUUUAUAGUUAUAAAAAUUAUUUAAAGCCUAAUUAAAAAAAAAAAGUAAAUAACCCAGAUAGAAAAAUUCAUAAUAUAAUAUUGUUAACAAUGACAUUUCAUUUUUAAUGAUUAAUAUUAUUUAAUGACUUAAAUAAUUUCAAAUUAAAUACAAAAUUAAUAUUAUAGAAAACUGUUUGACUGCAAUGCAAUUAUUCUUUAUAAUUAUAAUAUUUUUGUUUAAAAAAAUAACAUUAAAACAUAAUUAUUCUUAUUAUAAUUAUAAUUGUUUAAUUUAUCAAUAUUUACUUUAGUACCUAAUAAUAAACUCGUUUGUCUAUAUUUUUCUUUUUGAUGUUUCUUCACAGUCAACAUUUAAAUCUGUUGAUAUUUCAUACUUUUUGGUAUUUUGAUUGUAGAAUUUUAAUUUAUUUAAUGUUUCAAGAUAUAUCUUUUAGUUUAGUGAAGUAAUGUAUCUAGUAUUUGUAUAUUUGAUAAAAUAUAAUUUUUGAAAUAUUUCAUAAUUGUUUUAAAUUAAAUUACAAGGUAGAUAAUACCUACCUCACAUUGAAUAUAAAUAAAAAAAAAUUAUUUCAUUGA
rnacentral:lncRNA from 1 species